AGGACGAACGCUGGCGGCGUGCUUAACACAUGCAAGUCGAGCGGAAAGGCCCUUCGGGGUACUCGAGCGGCGAACGGGUGAGUAACACGUGAGCAAUCUGCCCUUAGCUUCGAGAUAGCUCCGGGAAACCGGAAUUAAUACCGGAUAUGACUAUGGCUGACAUCAGCCACGGUGGAAAGUUUCUCGGCUAGGGAUGAGCUCGCGGCCUAUCAGCUAGUUGGUGGGGUAACGGCCUACCAAGGCGACGACGGGUAG
rnacentral:rRNA from 1 species